rnacentral:rRNA from 1 species
ACAUCGUAGGAAACGAGGUGACUAACUACCGCAAUAACAAACGAAACCACUAUGUUUUCGUUUCAAAGAUGGUUUCGGCUAUCACUUCAGGAUGGGCCCGCGGUGCAUUAGCUAGUUGGUAGGGUAACGGCUUACCAAGGCAAUGAUGCAUAGCCGAGUUGAGAGACUGAUCGGCCACAAUGGAACUGAGACACGGUCCAUACUCCUACGGGAGGCAGCAGUAGGGAAUCUUCCACAAUGGGCGCAAGCCUGAUGGAGCAACACCGCGUGAGUGAAGAAGGGUUUCGGCUCGUAAAGCUCUGUUGUUGGAGAAGAACGUGCGUGAGAGUAACUGUUCACGCAGUGACGGUAUCCAACCAGAAAGUCACGGCUAACUACGUGCC